rnacentral:rRNA from 1 species
GACCCCUGAGAGAUGAUCAGGUAGAUAGGUUGGAAGUGGAAGGCCAGUGAUGGUUGGAGCGGACCAAUACUAAUCGGUCGAGGACUUAACCAA